rnacentral:rRNA from 1 species
UUAAGCGACUAAGCGUACACGGUGGAUGCCCUGGCAGUCAGAGGCGAUGAAGGACGUGCUAAUCUGCGAAAAGCGUCGGUAAGGUGAUAUGAACCGUUAUAACCGGCGAUGUCCGAAUGGGGAAACCCAGUGCAAUUCGUUGCACUAUCGUUAACUGAAUACAUAGGUUAACGAGGCGAACCGGGGGAACUGAAACAUCUAAGUACCCCGAGGAAAAGAAAUCAACCGAGAUUCCCCCAGUAGCGGCGAGCGAACGGGGAGCAGCCCAGAGUCUGAAUCAGCUUGUGUGUUAGUGGAACGGUCUGGAAAGUCCGACGGUACAGGGUGAUAGUCCCGUACACCAAAAUGCACAGGCUGUGAACUCGAAGAGUAGGGCGGGACACGUGGUAUCCUGUCUGAAUAUGGGGGGGACCAUCCUCCAAGGCUAAAUACUCCUGACUGACCGAUAGUGAACCAGUACCGUGAGGGAAAGGCGAAAAGAACCCCGGCGAGGGGAGUGAAAAAGAACCUGAAACCGUGUACGUACAAGCAGUGGGAGCACCUUCGGGUGUGACUGCGUACCUUUUGUAUAAUGGGUCAGCGACUUAUAUUCUGUAGCAAGGUUAACCGUAUAGGGGAGCCGCAGGGAAACCGAGUCUUAACUGGGCGUUAAGUUGCAGGGUAUAGACCCGAAACCCGGUGAUCUAGCCAUGGGCAGGUUGAAGGUUGGGUAACACUAACUGGAGGACCGAACCGACUAAUGUUGAAAAAUUAGCGGAUGACUUGUGGCUGGGGGUGAAAGGCCAAUCAAACCGGGAGAUAGCUGGUUCUCCCCGAAAGCUAUUUAGGUAGCGCCUCGUGAACUCAUCUUCGGGGGUAGAGCACUGUUUCGGCUAGGGGGUCAUCCCGACUUACCAACCCGAUGCAAACUACGAAUACCGAAGAAUGUUAUCACGGGAGACACACGGCGGGUGCUAACGUCCGUCGUGAAGAGGGAAACAACCCAGACCGCCAGCUAAGGUCCCAAAGUCAUGGUUAAGUGGGAAACGAUGUGGGAAGGCACAGACAGCCAGGAUGUUGGCUUAGAAGCAGCCAUCAUUUAAAGAAAGCGUAAUAGCUCACUGGUCGAGUCGGCCUGCGCGGAAGAUGUAACGGGGCUAAACCAUGCACCGAAGCUGCGGCAGCGACACUAUGUGUUGUUGGGUAGGGGAGCGUUCUGUAAGCCUGCGAAGGUGACCUGUGAGGGUUGCUGGAGGUAUCAGAAGUGCGAAUGCUGACAUAAGUAACGAUAAAGCGGGUGAAAAGCCCGCUCGCCGGAAGACCAAGGGUUCCUGUCCAACGUUAAUCGGGGCAGGGUGAGUCGACCCCUAAGGCGAGGCCGAAAGGCGUAGUCGAUGGGAAACAGGUUAAUAUUCCUGUACUUGGUGUUACUGCGAAGGGGGGGACGGAGAAGGCUAUGUUAGCCGGGCGACGGUUGUCCCGGUUUAAGCAUGUAGGCUGGUUAUCCAGGCAAAUCCGGAUAAUCAAGGCUGAGGUGUGAUGACGAGGCACUACGGUGCUGAAGUAACAAAUGCCCUGCUUCCAGGAAAAGCCUCUAAGCAUCAGGUAACAUCAAAUCGUACCCCAAACCGACACAGGUGGUCAGGUAGAGAAUACCAAGGCGCUUGAGAGAACUCGGGUGAAGGAACUAGGCAAAAUGGUGCCGUAACUUCGGGAGAAGGCACGCUGGUGUGUAGGUGAAGCCCCUGCGGGUGGAGCUGAGACCAGUCGAAGAUACCAGCUGGCUGCAACUGUUUAUUAAAAACACAGCACUGUGCAAACACGAAAGUGGACGUAUACGGUGUGACGCCUGCCCGGUGCCGGAAGGUUAAUUGAUGGGGUUAUCCGUAAGGAGAAGCUCUUGAUCGAAGCCCCGGUAAACGGCGGCCGUAACUAUAACGGUCCUAAGGUAGCGAAAUUCCUUGUCGGGUAAGUUCCGACCUGCACGAAUGGCGUAAUGAUGGCCAGGCUGUCUCCACCCGAGACUCAGUGAAAUUGAACUCGCUGUGAAGAUGCAGUGUACCCGCGGCAAGACGGAAAGACCCCGUGAACCUUUACUAUAGCUUGACACUGAACAUUGAGCCUUGAUGUGUAGGAUAGGUGGGAGGCUUUGAAGCGUGGACGCCAGUCUGCGUGGAGCCAACCUUGAAAUACCACCCUUUAAUGUUUGAUGUUCUAACGUUGGCCCCUUACCGGGGUUGCGGACAGUGUCUGGUGGGUAGUUUGACUGGGGCGGUCUCCUCCCAAAGCGUAACGGAGGAGCACGAAGGUUAGCUAAUCCUGGUCGGACAUCAGGAGGUUAGUGCAAUGGCAUAAGCUAGCUUGACUGCGAGCGUGACGGCGCGAGCAGGUGCGAAAGCAGGUCAUAGUGAUCCGGUGGUUCUGAAUGGAAGGGCCAUCGCUCAACGGAUAAAAGGUACUCCGGGGAUAACAGGCUGAUACCGCCCAAGAGUUCAUAUCGACGGCGGUGUUUGGCACCUCGAUGUCGGCUCAUCACAUCCUGGGGCUGAAGUAGGUCCCAAGGGUAUGGCUGUUCGCCAUUUAAAGUGGUACGCGAGCUGGGUUUAGAACGUCGUGAGACAGUUCGGUCCCUAUCUGCCGUGGGCGCUGGAGAAUUGAGGGGGGGCUGCUCCUAGUACGAGAGGACCGGAGUGGACGCAUCACUGGUGUUCGGGUUGUCAUGCCAAUGGCACUGCCCGGUAGCUAAAUGCGGAAGAGAUAAGUGCUGAAAGCAUCUAAGCACGAAACUUGCCCCGAGAUGAGUUCUCCCUGAGACUUUAAGUCUCCUGAAGGAACGUUAAAGACGAUGACGUUGAUAGGCCGGGUGUGUAAGCGCAGCGAUGCGUUGAGCUAACCGGUACUAAUGAACCGUGAGGCUUAACCUU